UUUCAUGCAUGAAAUUUGGCCGGAUAAUCGUUCUAAGGCGCGCGAUUGUUGGGUGCAUCUAUGUAGGUUUUGGCUUUUUAGGCAACGAGGUAGGGGAUUUUCUUGCUUACUUUGUCACUAAACUAGAUUGUGUGUUGUUUUACAGCUUUGGUAAUGUAAUAAGUAAUGUUGGGUAAGCAUAUUAUUGGCACUUUUUGUAGAAAGUUCUUCUGCUUAUAAACUUUAGUGUUACUAGUUUGUAGAAAUUUUAACAAAAAAUUCAAGUGUUAUCUAAAAGACACUUAAAAGUUCUUCAACAAGUGUUUUUAUAGAAAACACUUAAUGUUUUUCCUAUAAAAACAAUUAAUUGUCGAAAAACACUUUUUAACCCUUGUAAAAACAAUAUCAAACACACCCCAUUCUUUAGAUAAAAUUUUGAUUGAUGACAAUGUAUUAUUUGUUUCAUGUGUGGACUCACUUUGGAAUUUAUUCGUUCGCAUCAAAUAAAAUGUCAGCAGGCGUCAAUACACUACACCAUGGUGUAAUACGUUCGUGUUCUAUAAGGACAGGCUGUUUUGAUGUCUUAAUUACCGUGGGAUGGUCAAAAUUCAGGCAACAAUAUGGGCAUGUCAUCAAUUCACAUAGUACCACGUGGCAGAUGACAGAAGUGCCAAGUGUUCACUUGGAAACAUGAUCUAAAGGCUGCUUUUAUGAAUAGUGUUAUUCUUACGCGUCUUUUUAC
rnacentral:lncRNA from 1 species